UGUUUCUAGAGUCUACAGCAGUGCACAGUAAUGUCCCAGGCCUUCACAUCCACUCACCGUUCACUCACUGACUCACCCAGAGCAACUUCCAGUCCUGCCAGCUCCAUUCAUGCUUAUAUGCAGCCAUUACUUUGGGAUCUGAUGCUGGGCCUGGAGUCAGCAGGGAAAAUAGUAGGGAAAAAAUAUGGACGUAAAAAUGUGGAGGAGAGCAGGACCAAACUGGAACCAAUGAGGACAAGCUGGACCCUGCAUAUCUCUCUCACCAUCUCCAAUCCACUAGCUUUGAUGUGGUAGGUGACCUGUAAGAGAACCUGGAGCCCUUUGUCCAAGAAGCUGAAGGAGGAGAUCUCUCGGGAGCUCAGAAGCCUCUGGCUUCCUGCUGCCUCACACCCACAAGGCCAGCGAGUGAUAUAUGCGGUAGGAUAUUCCCUCAUGAUGCUGGGCAGCGAGCCACAGCUCCCAGUCAACUUCCCAAGCCCAAAGCAAAGAGAUCACAUCUGGAAUGACAGCUGCAGUGGAAGACACCACCUGGUAUAUAUACACUAAUCCACUAUCUUCUUCCAAGACGCAUCUCUCUUUUGCAUUCACUGAAAAGGAACUAUGAGUCCACAAACGGUCUCAGAUAUUGGAACACAAAGACCAUGACAACUUUUGUUACAAUGGCUCAUGAGAGGCCUAGUUUCAACAGAACCAGAUCUUUUUCAUUGAGGUUUUAAGUAGAAUCUUUCAUGACAUGAAGAAAAUUCAAGUUCUUCUUCCAAUAACAUAUGGUGCUAAAAUCUGUUUGAAUUCUCUGAAUGGAGGUUUCUGGAG
rnacentral:lncRNA from 1 species